rnacentral:rRNA from 1 species
GACGAACGCUGGCGGCGUGCCUAAUACAUGCAAGUAGAACGCUGAAGGAGGAGCUUGCUUCUCCGGAUGAGUUGCGAACGGGUGAGUAACGCGUAGGUAACCUGCCUGGUAGCGGGGGAUAACUAUUGGAAACGAUAGCUAAUACCGCAUAAGAGUAGAUGUUGCAUGACAUUUGCUUAAAAGGUGCAAUUGCAUCACUACCAGAUGGACCUGCGUUGUAUUAGCUAGUUGGUGAGGUAACGGCUCACCAAGGCGACGAUACAUAGCCGACCUGAGAGGGUGACCGCCCACACUGGGACUGAGACCCGGCCAAGACUCCAAGGGGAGGGAGAAGUAGGAACUCUUCGGCAAUGGACGGAGUUCUACCAGAGCACCGCCGGGUGAGUGAAAAGGGUUUCCGGAUCUAAAACCUCUGUUGAAAGAGAAGAACGAGUGUGAGAGGGGAAAGUCCCCGCUGGGGGGGUUUCUAACCAAAAAGGGGCGGCUACCUCCGU